rnacentral:rRNA from 1 species
UACGGGGGGGGCAAGCGUUGUUCGGAAUUACUGGGCGUAAAGGGCUCGUAGGUGGCCAACUAAGUCAGACGUGAAAUCCCUCGGCUUAACCGGGGAACUGCGUCUGAUACUGGUUGGCUUGAGUGUGGGAGAGGGAUGCGGAAUUCCAGGUGUAGCGGUGAAAUGCGUAGAUAUCUGGAGGAACACCGGUGGCGAAGGCGGCAUCCUGGACCAUUACUGACGCUGAGGAGCGAAAGCCAGGGGAGCAAACGGG